rnacentral:rRNA from 1 species
UACGAAGGGGGCAAGCGUUGUUCGGAAUUACUGGGCGUAAAGGGCGCGUAGGCGGUGCGCUAAGUCAGAUGUGAAAGCCCUGGGCUCAACCCGGGAAUUGCAUUUGAUACUGGCGUGCUCGAAUCCGGGAGAGUUGGUGGAAUUCCCAGUGUAGAGGUGAAAUUCGUAGAGAUUGGGAAGAACACCGGUGGCGAAGGCGGCCAACUGGACCGGUAUUGACGCCUGAGGCGCGAAAGCGUGG